GCUGAACAUAAGUUGAAUGGUUAUGUCGAAGAAAGUCAACGGCAUAACCAUCCAAGUUGAAUGGCUAUGCCGUUGAGUUUCUUCGGCAUAACCAUUCAACUUG